ACGGGGUGUUAGGGCACGACACCGGAGAGGGAGCCUGAGAAACGGCUACCACAUCCAAGGAAGGCAGCAGGCGCGCAAAUUACCCAAUCCCGACAUGGGGAGGUAGUGACAAUAAAUAACAAUACAGGGUUCUUUUGGAUCUUGUAAUUGGAAUGAGUACAAUUUAAAUCUCUUAACGAGGAACAAUUGGAGGGCAAGUCUGGUGCCAGCAGCCGCGGUAAUUCCAGCUCCAAUAGCGUAUAUUAAAGUUGUUGCAGUUAAAAAGCUCGUAGUUGAACUUCGGGAUCAAUUAGUUGGUCAUGCCUCGGUAUGUACUGAUUUUAUUGGUUCUCACCUUCUAAAGAACUAUAAUGUCAUUUAUUUGAUGUUAUAGGGAAUUAGGACUGUUACCUUGAAAAAAUUAGAGUGUUUAAAGCAGGCUCACGCUUGAAUACAUUAGCAUGGAAUAAUGAAAUAGGACAUCGCAUUCUAUUUUGUUGGUUUCUAGGAUCGAUGUAAUGAUUAAUAGGGAUAGUUGGGGGCAUUAGUAUUCAAUUGUCAGAGGUGAAAUUCUUGGAUUUAUUGAAGACUAACUACUGCGAAAGCAUUUGCCAAGGAUGUUUUCAUUAAUCAAGAACGAAAGUUAGGGGAUCGAAGACGAUCAGAUACCGUCGUAGUCUUAACCAUAAACUAUGCCGACUAGGGAUCGGAUGAUGUUGAUUUUUUAAUGACUCAUUCGGCACCUUACGGGA
rnacentral:rRNA from 1 species